AUAAGACCCCAAAUUUUUUCUAAACCCUCAUUUGAAACCCUAAAUCUAAAAAAUAAAUAAAAGUUCUUCCAUUCUUCUCUCUGCUUGGCCGACUCAAGGGCCUCAUCGGCGUUCCAUGCGCCUCCACCUAUAGUGGUUCAUGGCUCGGGAACAAUGAAAAUGAGAGGAGUAUAACUCCCCUCCUUUGGUCCAAUUUCCAUAUCGGAGAAAGGGUCUUCGAUUGUCAAAACUGCGGGUAGGUUCCCUAGCUCCUCUCCUUUAUUUGUUUUUGAAAAGAAUUUUAAAAGCAUAAUAAAGAAAUCUACAUAAUAUGAAUCAUAAAUCACCUUCAGUCUUUGAGUGAAUUCUUUGUUUUCUUUGUAUUCGGAAAAAAAAAAAUCAGACCCUUUACAAAUUAUAUUCGGUUUCCUUUUAUAAUUUUAUAAGGAGAAAUAAAUAAAAAAAAUAAAAUCCUUUUCCCUUAAAUCUUUUUUGUUAUUGUUGCUAUCAAUUUGCUGUAUAUUGUUGCUGUUUUUUUCGUUUUUCGCAGGUACAAAGGCCAUGUGGAUGUACGGAGAAGAAGGCCACUUGUAGGGAGGCAACGACGAGCAUGAGCAGCAGCUUGGUGGCCUAGGGUUUCCAGCAGAUCUCAUUUGCUCAGGCCAUUUGGGCCAGUUUGCCUUUGGGUCAUUGUAAUUUUGGAUUCUUGGGCUAUUAAUUAGGGAUUUGGGUUUAUUGUUGGGCUAUAAGUGUGAUUCGUAAAUGGACUGGACUGAAAAAUUUUAUUUUGGUUUUUUUAAAUUUAUUUUUGGUUUAUUUAUUGUUUUUAAUCUAUGGGCCCGGGUGAAUUGGGCCUAUUACACUGGCACAUCUACUCGCUAUCUCUUUGCCGGGUAGACCUCACGACGAGUAUUAUGCUUUAUGGCCUGAGUCGUUCGAAGGUGACUUUUUUUCCUCUGGCCUUGCAUUAUAUUCAUGUUGUCUUGGCUCACAUAUUGACCGGUAGGAGAGAGAGCACUAGAGUCGUCGGUACAACUGAUGCAUAUUUCUUUUGAAGCAUGGCCACGGGGCGUAUUUUCGAUUUAACCUACUUCAUCACUCUCACCUUUCGCCAUCAGACAGAACAUAGUGGGAGGGGUUCUAUCACUUUAGGCCCUUAUGUGACUCAACUCACACAUCACUUGUAAAAGCCCGUUUUUAGUGAAAUUGGAACAGUGGUUUUGGG
rnacentral:lncRNA from 1 species